GCAAGCCCCAAGAGCUUAGGUCUAUUGUGCAAGCAUCCGGUAACAGAUUCGUCAGCCGAUUGUACUCUAGCCCAGAAUCAACUGGCUCCUUGGGCCUCACACGAUCAACAAAGAAGGGGCGGAUAACAACUGACCAAAUCCGAGUUGACGUGCCACCGCCGCUGGAUAAUAAAAUUCAUAAGAGUAUUGCUGCCAACCUGCAGCAAAGUUGACUGGAAAAACACUCGGGAGAAUGAUCGUCUCAAGAAGAACCCUGUCAAUACUGUCAAAGAAGAAAUCAACAGGCAUCUCAAAAGCUUCAUAAUCAUCAUGAUACGCCUGCCACAAUCUGACUUGAUCGGUGAAGCCAUUAUAAAACAGCAUGAAGAAAUGGG
rnacentral:lncRNA from 1 species